AAUGAACGCUGGCGGCAGGCCUAACACAUGCAAGUCGAGCGGAGCGGCGGACGGGUGCGUAAUGCCUAGGAAUCUGCCUGGUAGUGGGGGAUAACGUCCGGAAACGGGCGCUAAUACCGCAUCCUUUCAGAUGAGCCUAGGUCGGAUUAGCUAGUUGGUGGGGUAAAGGCCUACCAAGGCGACGAUCCGUAACUUGUCAGUGAGGAUGAUCAGUCACACUGGAACUGAGACACGGUCCAGACUCCUACGGGAGUCAGCAGAGGGGAAUUGGGGACAAUGGUCGAAAGCCUGAUCAAGCCAUGCCGGGUGUGUGAAGAAGGUCUUCGGAGGGUAAAGCACUGUAAGUUGGGAGGCGUUACCAACAGAAGAAGCACCGGCUAACUUCGGGCCAGCAGCCGCGGUAAUAC
rnacentral:rRNA from 1 species